GUUUGUUUUGUUUAAUGCAAAAAGUAUUUGGAGAUUUUUGUUUAUUCCCCGAAAAAGAAAUUGUUUGCCUUUGAACACAUGAUCCCAUGCCCAGAAGAAACAAGAAAGACUCAAAUGGCUUUCAAGUCUGGAUGGCUUUCAAGUCUGGAUGGCUUUAAACAAUGAAUGCCACACAAAAGUUGUAGGGACCAGGGAUUCAAGUUUUUGAGAACUAGAAGUCUCAAUCUAGGGGAUCCUCCGGGAAAUAUGUUUGCUGCUUUUCGAACUGUUAUUAUUACAUCAUAUAAAACUGCAAUAAUUUGAUAUUUGACCAUUUCUAAAUCUAUCAAGAGUUAUGAUAAUGAUGAGAAUGGCAUAUUGUACCGCCAUUUGGACAUAUUGCAUCGAUAACCCCUAAGUUGAAAUUAUUUUCAAAGUCGCAUGUAACAUUUUUCUGGUUUACAUGUGAAGAACAUGUGGACUCGGUUGUUCAUGAUUAAUUGGAGUAUGGUAUGUAUUUCUCUAAUAAUUGUAAAAAAGUAUUACGAUAAUAUACAAUAUGAUAUGACUACAUAGAAAUAAAGCCUGAAUCCAUCAAAUUCAGUUAUUCAUGUAUAUCAAAGUUCAGUUUUUGUGUUUAGUUUGGCCCAUAUUAUUUAUCCAUUCAACUGUUUACAAGAUCAGUUCCUUUAUAUAAUGUAUCCUGUACAAUAUUGUAAUUAUAGUUGUUAUUGUCAAAUAUUUCUAUUAUAUAUUCAUUUCGGUUAA